rnacentral:lncRNA from 1 species
GUGUAUUUUUUCCCAGAUAGUAGCAUUAAUUCUCACCAAAACCUCGCGGUUACAGAUUAUUUCGAACAUUAUUACUCUUGCAAUAAAAUAUAUACUGAGAAAAAAAGUUUUACCCGUUCGGAAUCGUGUCGUGUAGAGAAAGAG